rnacentral:misc_RNA from 1 species
CAAGGAGGUAAAAAUG